rnacentral:rRNA from 1 species
AUGAACGCUGGCGGCAGGCCUAACACAUGCAAGUACGUAGACCGAGGAGUGGUAAGCACGAAGCUUGCUCUCUGAUUCAGCGGCGGACGGGUGAGUAAUGCCUAGGAAUCUGCCUGAUAGUGGGGGACAACGUUUCGAAAGGAACGCUAAUACCGCAUACGUCCUACGGGAGAAAGUGGGGGAUCUUCGGACCUCACGCUAUCAGAUGAGCCUAGGUCGGAUUAGCUAGUUGGUGGGGUAAUGGCCCACCAAGGCGACGAUCCGUAACUGGUCUGAGAGGAUGAUCAGUCACACUGGAACUGAGACACGGUCCAGACUCCUACGGGAGGCAGCAGUGGGGAAUAUUGGACAAUGGGCGAAAGCCUGAUCCAGCCAUGCCGCGUGUGUGAAGAAGGUCUUCGGAUUGUAAAGCACUUUAAGUUGGGAGGAAGGGCAGUAAAUUAAUACUUUGCUGUUUUGACGUUACCGACAGAAUAAGCACCGGCUAACUCUGUGCCAGCAGCCGCGGUAAUACAGAGGGUGCAAGCGUUAAUCGGAAUUACUGGGCGUAAAGCGCGCGUAGGUGGUUUGUUAAGUUGAAUGUGAAAGCCCCGGGCUCAACCUGGGAACUGCAUCCAAAACUGGCAAGCUAGAGUACGGUAGAGGGUGGUGGAAUUUCCUGUGUAGCGGUGAAAUGCGUAGAUAUAGGAAGGAACACCAGUGGCGAAGGCGACCACCUGGACUGAUACUGACACUGAGGUGCGAAAGCGUGGGGAGCAAACAGGAUUAGAUACCCUGGUAGUCCACGCCGUAAACGAUGUCAACUAGCCGUUGGAAUCCUUGAGAUUUUAGUGGCGCAGCUAACGCAUUAAGUUGACCGCCUGGGGAGUACGGC